CCCCAAUUAUUCAAUUUUGAUGAAAUCAAACAAAAGUUUAAUUUUUGGACCCUUUGGGCCCCUUAUUAUGUUGGGACCAAAACUCCCAAAAUCAAACCCAACCUUUCUUUUAUGGUCAUAAACCUUGUGUUUAAAUUUCAUAGAUUUCUAUUUACUUAUACUAACGUUAUGGUGCGAAAACCAAGAAAAAUGCUUAUUUGGGUCCCUUUUUGGCCCCUAAUUCCUAAACUGUUGGGACCUAAACUCCCAAAAUCAAUACCAACCUUCCUUUUGUAGUCAUUAACAUUGUGUUUAAAUUUCAUUGAUUUCUAUUUACUUAAACUAAUGUUAUUGUGCGAAAACCAAGAAUAAUGCUUAUUUGGGCCCUUUUUUGGUCCCUAAUUCCUAAACUGUUGAGACCAAAACUCCCAAAAUCAAUCCCAACCGUUCUUUUGUGGUCAUAAACCUUGUGUCAAAAUUUCAUAGAUUUCUAUUAACUUAAACUAAAGUUAUAGUGCGAAAACCAAGAAAAUGCUUAUUUGGGCCUUUUUUGGCCCCUAAUUCCUAAAAUGUUGGGACCAAAACUCCCAAAAUCAAUACCAACCUUCCUUUUGUGGUCAUAAACCUUGUGUUAAAAUUUCAUAGAUUUCCAUUCACUUUUACUAAAGUUAGAGUGCGAAAACUAAAAGUAUUCGGACGCCGGACGACGACGACGACGACGACGACGACGACGACGCCGACGCCAACGUGAUAGCAAUAUACGACGAAAAUUUUUUCAAAAUUUGCGGUCGUAUAAAAAUGAUU
rnacentral:lncRNA from 1 species